rnacentral:rRNA from 1 species
GUGCCAGCCGCCGCGGUAAUACGUAGGGUGCGAGCGUUGUCCGGAAUUACUGGGCGUAAAGAGCUCGUAGGUGGUUUGUCGCGUCGUCUGUGAAAUUCCGGGGCUUAACUCCGGGCGUGCAGGCGAUACGGGCAUAACUUGAGUGCUGUAGGGGAGACUGGAAUUCCUGGUGUAGCGGUGAAAUGCGCAGAUAUCAGGAGGAACACCGAUGGCGAAGGCAGGUCUCUGGGCAGUAACUGACGCUGAGGAGCGAAAGCAUGGGUAGCGAACAGGAUUAGAUACCCUGGUAGUCCAUGCCGUAAACGGUGGGCGCUAGGUGUGGGGUCUUCCACGACUUCUGUGCCGUAGCUAACGCAUUAAGCGCCCCGCCUGGGGAGUACGGCCGCAAGGCUAAAACUCAAAGGAAUUGACGGGGGCCCGCACAAGCGGCGGAGCAUGUGGAUUAAUUCGAUGCAACGCGAAGAACCUUACCUGGGCUUGACAUAUGCCGGAUCGGCGCAGAGAUGCGUUUUCCCUGUGGUCGGUA